AAAAACACCACUCGAUUUAUGAGCAGGAUGAUGCAUUUGUGCAUGCUUAUAUGAUAUGGUGACGGGUGAUUACCAACUGAAAGAGAUAUGAGCCAAACGGUUGUUAAUUACCUUCCCCACAUACUGCAAUGCUUGAAGAUGGUUCCUUGAAAGAAUAGGCAUUUAUGGCAGAAUACUAAGGAAGAAGAAGGAGAAGGAGGGGAGGUAAUGAGGGUCUCUUUCCUAGAAGAAUAAAACCUUUAAG
rnacentral:misc_RNA from 1 species